rnacentral:rRNA from 1 species
UACGAAGGGGGCUAGCGUUGCUCGGAAUCACUGGGGCGUAAAGGGUGCGUAGGCGGGUCUUUAAGUCAGGGGUGAAAUCCUGGAGCUCAACUCCAGAACUGCCUUUGAUACUGAGGAUCUUGAGUUCGGGAGAGGUGAGUGGAACUGCGAGUGUAGAGGUGAAAUCGUAGAUAUUCCGCAAGAACACCAGUGGCGAAGGCGGCUCACUGGCCCGAUACUGACGCUGAGGCACGAAAAGCGUGGGGGAGCAAACAGG